UGGGGAAUCUUCCGCAAUGGACGAAAGUCUGACGGAGCAACGCCGCGUGAGUGAAGAAGGUUUUCGGAUCGUAAAACUCUGUCUUUUGGGGCGAACGUGAGUAUGGUGAACAAUCAUAGUCAGUGACGGUACCAAAGGAGGAAGCCACGGCUAACUACGUGCCAGCAGCCGCGGUAAUACGUAGGUGGCAAGCGUUGUCCGGAAUUAUUGGGCGUAAAGAGCGCGUAGGCGGGAUAGUCAGUCUGUUGUAAAGUGCGGGGCUCAACCCCGUGAUGGCAAUGGAAACAGCUAUUCUUGAGUGCAGGAGAGGAAAGGUGGAAUUCCCAGUGUAGCGGUGAAAUGCGUAGAUAUUGGGAGGAACACCAGUGGCGAAGGCGACUUUCUGGACUGUGUCUGACGCUGAGGCGCGAAAGCCAGGGGGAGCGAACGGGAUUUAGAUACCCCCGGUAGUCCUGGCCGUAAACGAUGGGUACUAGUGUGGGAGGUAUCGACCCCCUUUCCGUGCCGGAGUUAANGCAAUAAGUACCCCCGCUGGGGAGUAGGUCGCAAGACUGAAACUC
rnacentral:rRNA from 1 species